AUGUGUGUUCCCAAAGAUCAAGGAGGGAUGAGUUUUCGUGAUAUACACUGCUUUAAUGCAUUGUUAGCUAAACAAGUUUGGCGUCUCCUGGAUAAUCCUGAAUCGUUAUGUGCCACAAUCCUAAGAGCCAAGUAUUUCCCAGAGGGUGAUCUGAUGAGCGCAAAAUUAAAAAAGAGUUCCUCCUUUACUUGGCAAAGUAUUAUGGAGGGAGUUGACUCUCUCAGAAAUGGUUAUAUAUGGAGAGUUGGUACUGGGCAAAAAAUUAAUAUUUGGACAGACGCUUGGGUCCCAAAUUGUGCGAAUAGGAGAAUUAUUACUCCAAGAAGAGGGAUACUUCUGAAAAAAGUGUCUGUUCUUAUUGACCCAAUCACAAAUGGUUGGGAUAAAGAUUUGGCGAGACAAACACUGUGGCCAACUAAUGCUCGAAGAGUCCUGGCGAUCCCUCUCCCUAUGCAUAAUAUGCAGGACUUCAUUGCCUGGAGCUAUACUAAAAACGGUUUGUUCACUGUAUGA
rnacentral:rRNA from 1 species